rnacentral:rRNA from 1 species
GUGAAAUUGUUGUAAACGGGAAACGCUUGAAGUCAGGUCGUGCCGGCGCUGGAUUCAGUCUCGCUUCUCGGAGCCGGGGGCGUAGUUUCCACGCAUGGCAGGUCAGCGUCAGGUUUCGCGCGUCGUGUAAAGGGCUCGGGUAAGGUGACUCUCUUCCGGGGAGUGGUUAUAGACCUGAGCAGAUGCGGCGCGCGGGGACUGAGGAUUGCAGCGGACACCCUUCGGGGGCGCGGCGACCGAGCCCUGCGCGAUCAACCCGUUGGCGAUAGCGUGCUACCGUCAGUGGGAGCGGUUGUGUCACUGGCCAGGCAAGCCGGCGGUUCGCUUAGGACGCUGACGUAAUGGCUUUAAACGAC